GGGCUGCAGCUCAGCGGUAGAGUGUGUGCUCUGCAUGCAUGAGGCCCUGGGUUCGAUCCCCAGUGUCCCA
rnacentral:tRNA from 1 species